ensembl:snRNA U4 U4 spliceosomal RNA
AGCUUUGUGCAGUAGCAGCCAAUGAGGUUUAUUGGAGGUGCAAUUAUUGCAAAUUGAAAACUUUUCCCAAUACCCUGCCAUGACGACUUGAAAUAUAGUCAGCAUUAGCAAUUUUUGACAGUCUCUACAGAGA